CCUUGUAUUUGAGUAAAGACUCUUUGUAAAGGGAAAUAGGUUAAGGGGUGGCAGGGCUGGGGAGCUGUGAGGACACGAGGUGAGGGGCUGGGCAGCUGUGGAGAUGUAGGGUGAGAUUGCAGGGUGAGGGUCUGGGGUGCCAUGGGGCUGUAGGACGAAGGGCUGGGGUGCCAUGGGGCAGUAGGGAUGAGGGGCUGGGGCACUGUGGGGCUGUAGGGUGAGGGUGUGGAAUGCAAUGGGGCUGUGGCAUGAGGGGCUGGGGUUUGCAUGGGGUUGCAGGGUAAGGGGCUGAGGUUUCACAAGGCAAUAGGGUGAGGAGCUGGGGUGCAAUGGGGCUGUGGGAUAAGGAGCUGGGUUGCCAUGGGGCUGCAGGGUGAGGGGUUGGGGUUUCACAGAGCAAUAGGGUGAGGGACUGGGAUGCAAUGGGGCUGUGGGGUGAGGGACUGGGG